UACGUAGGAUGCAAGCGUUGUCCGGAAUUAUUGGGCGUAAAGAGCGCGCAGGCGGUCUAUCAAGUCAGAUGUGAAAUAUCCCGGCUUAACCGGGAGGGGUCAUUUGAAACUGGUAGACUAGAGUACAGCAGAGGAUAGUGGAAUUCCCGGUGUAGUGGUGAAAUGCGUAGAUAUCGGGAGGAACACCAGUGGCGAAGGCGGCUAUCUGGGCUGAAACUGACGCUGAGGCGCGAAGGCUAGGGGAGCAAACGGG
rnacentral:rRNA from 1 species